GCAUUUGCAGCUUUAUACUGUGGUGCUGGGGGAGAGAGGGCUGUGUGUUCCAGAAGGCUGAUACCAUGGAAGACAUCACCUUGGCUUCCUGGCUGUCUGGUUAGUGAUUUGAGCAAUGAGAGGCAGCAGCUAGAAAUGAAAGAGUAGAAGAAGAGAGUGUCUCCUGACACUGUGUGCAUGGUCUCCAGUCAGCCUCUGAUUCCUCCACUUUCCUCCUGAAUUUCUUCCUUGUGAGUGUCACUUCUGGAAACAAAAGUCAAGUUCUCUAGGUGAACACUGAGUAGCCCCAACCUUCCAGUGAAUUUGAAGUGUAGGAAGUUUUCCUCGUUUAAACUCGGCACAGCCUCCAAUCCCUGGGAAGCAUGCCUCUCUGGUCUCCAACCCACCCAGACUUCCAGUGUGAGUAGACACCUGUAGGGCCUGAUUGGUUCAGCACCAAGUGAAGUCAUAGUCACUAUGGUGACUCACAAUUGUCCUCAGAACCUAGUGCCAACAGUCUGCAAGAUUCAAACACUGGCCACCAUGCCUGGCUUCCUUCUGGUUCAAGCCUGAAUAAGGUCCCUCUUCUGUGCUGUCUUCCUGAAGCCAUCUGUGGAGUCAAGCAGUCAUGGCUCAGGGACACUCUGAAGUAGGUCCCAGCACAUCUGCGUGGAGCAUCAGGAGGAAGGUGGAUGAAUACUUAAGACCCAGCCUGGCCUCUAAAUCGGUGCUGAGCGUUUUACUCAGUAGACAGCUUGGGAAUCAUAGAAACGAUGUGGAUCUGACAGAGUGGCUGUGGACACUGAAGCAAGCCAUACCAGGGUGGACCUGGCCUUUGCCGACACGCCACACAAUCAACCCACCUCUGCCCCCUGGGGAGGAUAGAAAAUCCAAGAAAAUGGUGUGGAUCAAUAAAUCCUUCCCCUGAUGCAACCA
ensembl:lncRNA SMIM10L2B-AS1 SMIM10L2B antisense RNA 1